GUUUUGAUUAUGGCUCAGAUUGAACGCUGGCGGGAUGCUUUACACAUGCAGAGUCGAGCAGCAGCGGACUUCGGUCACAGGUGGCGGUGGCGAACGGGUGAGUAAUGUAUCCGGAACGUUGCCCUAGUAGCGAGAUAUACGCGGCGUAUGUCUACUGCUUACGCCUUCGGGGGAAAGCGGGGGACCUUCGGAGCCUCACUAUUAAACGGCCGAUAUCGGAUUAGCUAGUUGGUGGGGUAACGGCUCACCGGCGAGCGAUCGUAGCUGGUUUGAGAGGACGACCAGCCACACUGGGACUGGAACACGGCCCAGACUCCUCACGGAGGCAGCAGUGGGGAAUUUUGGACAAUGGGGGAAACCCUGAUCCCAGCCAUCCCGCGUGUGCGAUGAAGGCCUUCGGGUUGUAAAGCGCUUUUGGCAGGAAGAAAACGGCACGGGAUAUGCAGCCGCAACUGACGGUACCUGCAGAAUAAGCACCAGCUAACUACGUGCCAGCAGCGCGGUAAAUACGUAGGGUGCAAGCGUUAAUCGGAAUUACUGGGCGUAAAGCGUGCGCAGGCGGUUCGGAAAGAAGAUGUGAAAUCCCAGAGCUUAACUUUGGAACUGCAUUUUAGCUACCGAGCUGAGGUGUAUCAGAGGAGGUGGAAUUCCGCGUCUUCGCGGAGGUGAAAUGCGUAGAUACCACGGAGAACCGAUGGCGAAGGCAGCCUCCUGGGGAUGCUGACGCUCAUGCACGGCGGUAAGGGGAGCAAACAGGAUUAGAUACCCUGACGGUCACGCCCUAAACGAUGUCAACUUCGCUGUUGGGGCCUUCGGGCCUUGGUAGCGCAACUAACGCGUGAGGUGCGACCGCCUGGGAAGUACGGUCGCAAGAUUAAAACUCAAGGAAUUGACGGGGACACACAAGCGAGUGGAUGAUGUCAAGUUAAUUCGAUGCAGCACCCGAAAAGAAAACCUACCCUUGACAUGUCUGGAAUCCCGAAGAGAUUUGGGGGUGCUCGCAAGAGAACCGGAACACAGGUGCUGCAUGGCUGUCGUCGUCGUCGCCGUGAGAUGUUGGACCCAAGUCCCGCAACAGGCGCAACCCUUGUCAUUGAUUGCUACGAGGCACUCUAAUGAGACUGCCGGUGACAAACCGGAGGAAGGUGAGGAUGACGUCAAGUCCUCACUUGGCCCUUAUGGGUAGGGCUUCGUCAUACAAUGGUCGGGACAGAGAUCGCCAACCCGCGAGGGGGAGCCCGUCGAAACCCGAUCGUAGUCCCGGAUAACGAUCUCGCAACCUCGACUGCGUGAAGUCGGAAUCUUCAAUAAUCGCGGAUCAGCAUGUCGCGGUGAAUACGUUCCAGGUCUUGUACACCACCGCCACGUCACCAUGGGAGUGGGUUUACCAGAAGUAGUUAGCCUAACCGUAAGGGCAGUGCCACAGUGGGAUUCAUGACUGGGGUGAAGUCAUGUCAUUAA
rnacentral:rRNA from 1 species